rnacentral:rRNA from 1 species
AAAUUGAAGAGUUUGAUCAUGGCUCAGAUUGAACGCUGGCGGCAGGCCUAACACAUGCAAGUCGAACGGUAACAGGAAGCAGCUUGCUGCUUCGCUGACGAGUGGCGGACGGGUGAGUAAUGUCUGGGAAACUGCCUGAUGGAGGGGGAUAACUACUGGAAACGGUAGCUAAUACCGCAUAACGUCGCAAGACCAAAGAGGGGGACCUUCGGGCCUCUUGCCAUCGGAUGUGCCCAGAUGGGAUUAGCUUGUUGGUGGGGUAACGGCUCACCAAGGCGACGAUCCCUAGCUGGUCUGAGAGGAUGACCAGCCACACUGGAACUGAGACACGGUCCAGACUCCUACGGGAGGCAGCAGUGGGGAAUAUUGCACAAUGGGCGCAAGCCUGAUGCAGCCAUGCCGCGUGUAUGAAGAAGGCCUUCGGGUUGUAAAGUACUUUCAGCGGGGAGGAAGGGAGUAAAGUUAAUACCUUUGCUCAUUGACGUUACCCGCAGAAGAAGCACCGGCUAACUCCGUGCCAGCAGCCGCGGUAAUACGGAGGGUGCAAGCGUUAAUCGGAAUUACUGGGCGUAAAGCGCACGCAGGCGGUUUGUUAAGUCAGAUGUGAAAUCCCCGGGCUCAACCUGGGAACUGCAUCUGAUACUGGCAAGCUUGAGUCUCGUAGAGGGGGGUAGAAUUCCAGGUGUAGCGGUGAAAUGCGUAGAGAUCUGGAGGAAUACCGGUGGCGAAGGCGGCCCCCUGGACGAAGACUGACGCUCAGGUGCGAAAGCGUGGGGAGCAAACAGGAUUAGAUACC